AUGCUCUGCCAGAUCCUCGGGCAAGCCAAGAAGCAUCCCAGUUUGAUUCCUCUCUUCGUAUUUAUUGGAGCAGGGGGUACUGGAGCAGCACUAUAUGUGAUGCACUUGGCAUUGUUCAAUCCAGAGGUCAGCUGGGACAGGAAGAACAACCCAGAGCCUUGGAACAAACUGGGUCCCAAUGAACAAUAUAAGUUCUACUCAGUGAAUGUGGAUUACAGCAAACUGAAGAAGGAAGGCCCAGACUUCUAAACUGUGAAAUUCACUGUAAAGCUGCUGAUCAUGAAGGUCUUUCAGAAGCCAUCCGCACAAUUUCCACUUAAGCAGAAAAUAUGUCUCUGAAUGCAUGAAAUCAUGUUGAUUUUUUUUUGGAGUUUAUUACACUGAUGAAUAAAUCUCUGAAACUUGAAAAAAAAAAAAAAAAA